CAAGUAGGUGGGUCCGCGAGCCUCCCUCCCUCAGAGGCAUUGCAUAAGCAGCCGCAGCCCUGACUACAUUCCCAUGGUUACCGGGCUGGGAAAGGCUGGCCGAGAUGGCAUCGCCAUGGCACCGGCAUGGUCCACAGCUCUGCUGGGCGUGGCUCUGGUAUGUGUAGCUCUGGUCUCUUGCUGGACAGAUGGCCUUCACAGAGGGCCCUCCCAGACAUCCAGUGGCCUUGGAUAUCAUGAUGUGAGAUGACUCCUGUCAGCUUGAGAAAACUUGGACUAGUUCUAGAAGACUUGGGUAAGAGGAGGACUUGGCGUCAUAAGGUAGGUGAAUAGAUAAGACCCAGUUGGCUAUGGAGUUUUCCUUUCAGAGGCUCAGAGAGAUAGGGUGAGGAUGAGUAUGUCUUCAUAGGGCCAAGCAAUCGAGGAUGCUUCCCAGGGCUGAUGGGAGGUCUGACACCCAUGCUUCCACAGCUGUGGGAAGGAGCUGCUCUAGUUUCUAACCAAGGCCCUGGAUCUGCAGUCAGGUCUGGAACAGUGGCCAUAGAAUAGGCAAUCAGAAGCAAUGAGCUGUGUCCCCCCCCCCCCCAUUUUUUCUGGAUGAACACUCCAUUUAAUAAGCUCAAGGAAAACAACCCGGAAAUUGGAAAGAUAAAGAAAGGGCCAUUAGUUGUCUGUGCUCUCCACACAUGUGAUGUCUUUGCUGUGAUCACAGGAACUGUCACCUGAGAACAUAUGUUUCUGUCUCCUGAUGCAUCCUCCAGGGAGGGAGGCUGGUUCAAGGGGAACACACCAUGUAGUUACAGGGUGAGCACAAGAGAGAAGAGACAGAGGAUAGACGGUGACAGCAGCAGUCCUGGGGAAAGGUGAUGACAGUCUAGGGAGGAGGGAUGGAUGUUAGGACCCUGUGCAGGUUUAUUUCUCA
rnacentral:lncRNA from 1 species